rnacentral:rRNA from 1 species
GAUGAACGCUGGCGGCGUGCCUAAUACAUGCAAGUCGAGCGAACGGACGAGAAGCUUGCUUCUCUGAUGUUAGCGGCGGACGGGUGAGUAACACGUGGAUAACCUACCUAUAAGACUGGGAUAACUUCGGGAAACCGGAGCUAAUACCGGAUAAUAUUUUGAACCGCAUGGUUCAAAAGUGAAAGACGGUCUUGCUGUCACUUAUAGAUGGAUCCGCGCUGCAUUAGCUAGUUGGUAAGGUAACGGCUUACCAAGGCAACGAUGCAUAGCCGACCUGAGAGGGUGAUCGGCCACACUGGAACUGAGACACGGUCCAGACUCCUACGGGAGGCAGCAGUAGGGAAUCUUCCGCAAUGGGCGAAAGCCUGACGGAGCAACGCCGCGUGAGUGAUGAAGGUCUUCGGAUCGUAAAACUCUGUUAUUAGGGAAGAACAUAUGUGUAAGUAACUGUGCACAUCUUGACGGUACCUAAUCAAAAAGCCCCGGCUAACUACGUG